rnacentral:rRNA from 1 species
CCUACGGGGGGCAGCAGUGGGGAAUAUUGGGCAAUGGGGGAAACCCUGACCCAGCGACGCCGCGUGAGGGAAGAAGGUUUUCGGAUUGUAAACCUCUGUCCUUGGUGACGAUAAUGACGGUAGCCAAGGAGGAAGCCACGGCUAACUACGUGCCAGCAGCCGCGGUAAUACGUAGGGGGCAAGCGUUAUCCGGAUUUACCGGGUGUAAAGGGGGCGCAGACGGCGAUGCAAGCCAGGAGUGAAAGCCCGGGGCCCAACCCCGGGACUGCUCUUGGAACUGCGUGGCUAGAGUGCAGGAGGGGCAG